UUCCUUCCUUUAUCUUUCAUAUCUCUCUUUUCUUUCCUUUUUUCAUCUCCCUCUUUCCCCCCUUCUGUCAUUUUCUUCUUUUUUUCCUACCUUUUCCUUUUUAUGUCCUUGCUUCUUUCCCACACCUUCUACUGUUCCCCUUCUUAAUCCCUUUCUUUCACUCAUUCAUUUCCCUCGUGCUUGCUGGUUUCAUGGUUUUCCUUGAUUCUCUCUUGCCUAGCUCUUUACUGUAAUCUCUUCUUCCUCUCUCUCCCACAGUCUUCUGUUCUGGUCUUUUGAAUCCCAGAAACAAAAUAUAUAUAUAUUUUUAAUUCUUUUCCCAUCCCCACCCCAAAUGAUCUCCACAGCUAUAGCCUGGCUUCUGCCCCCAUCCACAUGUCCCUGGGGAGGAGGGUCAGGAAAGGCCAAUUUGGGGUCAAAGGGGCUUCACUCUGGGCCCAGCGACCAGUUGGGGAUGACAGUGAACUUCUUUUUGCUCCUUGGGUCCCGAGUCAGCACCAACUUGGUAGAAAAAGCAACCAUGAAGCCAGAGGGAGAGCCACAGGAGGGAAGAGCGCACCAGACCAGCCGGAGAUGAACCGCGGGGAGAAAUGCAGAGAAAGGAAACGCAGCCGGUCCCUGAACAAACGCGGCAGAGGGCAAGAGAGGCACUCCUAGACAGAGAUGACCGCAAUCUCCGGGAAGGCGCACCCCAGGAGGAAGGCGCACCCCAGGAGGAAGGUCUCAGUCUCUCCCUAGUCCUCCCGGGCUUGAAAAUAUCGGGCCGAGACCUCUGCUCGCUGCCCUCGGGCCGGCCGCCCAGCACACAGAGCUUCGGCCACAGGGCGGCAGAUGCAACGCCGGGGGAAUGAGGAUGGAGUGAAGGCUUCCUUCACUCGCA